rnacentral:rRNA from 1 species
CCUACGGGAGGCAGCAGUAGGGAAUAUUGCUCAAUGGGCGAAACCCUGAAGCAGCAACGCCGCGUGGAGGAUGAAGGCUUUCUGAUUUGAAACUCCUUUUUUUACAGAAGAUAAUUACGUUAUCUAACGAAUAAGCACCGGCCAACUCCGUGCCAGCAGCCGCGGUAAUACGGAGGGUGCAAGCGUUACUCGGAAUCACUGGGCGUAAAGGGCGCGUAGGCGGGAUAGCAAGUCAGAUGUGAAAUGCUAUGGCUUAACCAUAGAACUGCAUCGGAAACUGUUAUGCUAGAGUAUGGGGGAGGUAGGUGGAAUUCUUGGUGUAGGGGUAAAAUCCGUAGAGAUCAAGAGGAAUACUGAUUGCGAAGGCGACAUGCUAGAACAUUACUGACGCUGAUGCGCGAAGGCGUGGGGAGCAAACAGGAUUAGAUACCCGAGUAGUC